rnacentral:rRNA from 1 species
UGGGGAAUUUUGGACAAUGGGCGAAAGCCUGAUCCAGCAAUGCCGCGUGUGCGAAGAAGGCCUUCGGGUUGUAAAGCACUUUUGUCAGAGAAAAAAAUACUUAUGAUAAUACCAUGAGUUUAUGAUGGUAUCUGAAGAAUAAGCACCGGCUAACUACGUGCCAGCAGCCGCGGUAAUACGUAGGGUGCAAGCGUUAAUCGGAAUUAUUGGGCGUAAAGCGUGCGCAGGCGGUUAUAUAAGAUAGAUGUGAAAUCCUUGGGCUCAACCUGAGAACUGCAUUUAUGACUGUAUAACUAGAGUGUGUCAGAGGGGGGUAGAAUUCCACGUGUAGCAGUGAAAUGCGUAGAGAUGUGGAGGAAUACCGAUGGCGAAGGCAGCCCCCUGGGAUAACACUGACGCU